UACGUAGGGGGCAAGCGUUGUUCGGAAUUACUGGGCGUAAAGGGCGCGUAGGCGGCACGGCAAGUCGGGAGUGAAAGCCCCGGGCUCAACCUGGGAACUGCAUCUUAUACUGCGUAGCUGGAGUGAAGUAGAGGGUAGUGGAAUUUCCGGUGUAGCGGUGAAAUGCGUAGAUAUCGGAAGGAACACCAGUGGCGAAGGCGGCUACCUGGACUUACACUGACACUGAGGCGCGAAAGCGUGGGUAGCAAACAGG
rnacentral:rRNA from 1 species